GGUGAAGAGGAGCUUGCUCCUUGGAUCAGUGGCGAACGGGUGAGUAACACGUGAGCAAUCUGCCCUUGACUCUGGGAUAACUGCGGGAAACUGUAGCUAAUACCGGAUAUUACCUUGGAAGGCAUCUUCUGGGGUGGAAAGAAUUUUGGUCAAGGAUGAGCUCGCGGCCUAUCAGCUAGUUGGUGAGGUAAUGGCUCACCAAGGCGACGACGGGUAGCCGGCCUGAGAGGGUGACCGGCCACACUGGGACUGAGACACGGCCCAGACUCCUACGGGAGGCAGCAGUGGGGAAUAUUGCACAAUGGGCGCAAGCCUGAUGCAGCAACGCCGCGUGAGGGACGAAGGCCUUCGGGUUGUAAACCUCUUUUAGUAGGGAAGAAGCGACUGGGUUUUCCUGGGAGUGACGGUACCUGCAGAAAAAGCACCGGCUAACUACGUGCCAGCAGCCGCGGUAAUACGUAGGGUGCAAGCGUUGUCCGGAAUUAUUGGGCGUAAAGAGCUCGUAGGCGGUUUGUCGCGUCUGCUGUGAAAACCCGAGGCUCAACCUCGGGCCUGCAGUGGGUACGGGCAGACUAGAGUGCGGUAGGGGAGAUUGGAAUUCCUGGUGUAGCGGUGGAAUGCGCAGAUAUCAGGAGGAACACCAAUGGCGAAGGCAGAUCUCUGGGCCGUAACUGACGCUGAGGAGCGAA
rnacentral:rRNA from 1 species